AUGCCAUGGUGAGGACAUUUCACCAACAUACCCUUAAACCUCUCCCAAGUUUCUUGCAAAGUCUCAGUCGGUUUCUGCCUGAAUUGCAAUAUCUCAUCAAUAUGCCU
rnacentral:snoRNA from 1 species